rnacentral:rRNA from 1 species
GGCCAACCUACCCUAGGGAGGUAGAUAACCCCUGGGAAACUGGGGUUAAACUACCAUAGGAGGCGGGAUCUGGAAAGACCCGCCUCUGAAAGUGGUGUACGGGGAUGCCUGUACACCAGCCCUAGGAUGGGGCUGCGGCCCAUCAUGGUUGUUGGUGGGGUAACGGCCCACCAAGCCUAUAACGGGUACGGGCCCUGAGAGGGGGAGCCCGGAGAUGGACUCUGAGACAAGAGUCCAGGCCCUACGGGGCGCAGCAGGCGCGAAAACUCCCCAAUGCCCGAAAGGGUGAGGGGGUCACCCCGAGUGCCACCCUCGCGGUGGCUUUUGCGGGGUCUAAAAAGCCCCGCGAAUAAGGGGAGGGCAAGACGGGUGUCAGCCGCCGCGGUAAUACCCGCUCCCCGAGUGGUGGGGACUAUUACUGGGCUUAAAGCACCCGUAGCCGGCCGGAUGUGUCUCCCGUUAAAUCCACGGGCCUAACCCGUGGGCUGCGGGAGAUACUAUCCGGCUUGGGGGUGGGAGAGGGCGGCGGUAUUCCCGGGGUAGGGGUAAAAUCCACUGAUCCCGGGAGGACCACCGGUGGCGAAGGCGGCCGCCCAGAACACGCCCGACGGUGAGGGGUGAAAGCUGGGGGAGCAAACGGGAUUAGAUACUCUCGGUAGUCCCAGCUGUAAACGAUGCGGGCUAGGUGUCGGGUGGGCUACGGGCUCACCCGGUGCCGAAGGGAAACCAUUA